rnacentral:snRNA from 1 species
AAUCCCUUUCAUGAUUUCA